GAGUCUUCUGUGCUGCCCUUGUGGGACUCACAACCCAGGCUUCAAGCAGGCAGUACAGGACCAGGACCAGGACCAGGCCCCAGUGACAGAGCUCAGACCUACGAGGGUUUUCUGUGGUUUUGUUUUUGUGGCCCUGGAUGUCCUGGAAUUCAGCUCAGGAGACUAUAACUGGCCUCGAACUCACUAAGAUCCACCUGCCUCUGCUUCCUGAGAGCUGGGAUUAAAGGAACCAAACCCUGCUAGUGCAUGCUCGCCAAGAACUCCACACCACUGAACAACAUCCCCAGACCAAGAUUUCUAAUCAUGACUCUAUUUCUUUCUUGUACCUUCACCUCCUCCUGUGUAAAAAGUAUAUAUGUUUGCCUAUGAAUAUAAUUAUGUCUCGUUUAAUAAAUUCUUGAUACAUUUA